rfam:Heligmosomoides polygyrus genome assembly, scaffold: HPBE_scaffold0012115
GCGCCGGUGGUGUAAGGCGAACAUCGCUGCCCGGAAAGCAGAAGAUGCGGGGUUCGAGUCCCGCCUGGCGCA